rnacentral:rRNA from 1 species
AUUGAACGCUGGCGGCAUGCCUUACACAUGCAAGUCGAACGAGAACGGAUUAUAGCUUGCUAUAAUUGUCAGCUAAGUGGCGCACGGGUGAGUAAUAUAUAGAUAACCUGCCCUCUAGAAAGGAAUAACAGUUGGAAACGACUGCUAAUGCCCUAUAUGCCUUUUAAUACAUAAGUAUGCAAGGGAAACGCUUUAGUGCUAGAGGAUGGGUCUGUAUGGUAUCAGCUUGUUGGUGAGGUAAUGGCUCACCAAGGCUAUGACGCCUAACUGGUUUGAGAGGAUGAUCAGUCACACUGGAACUGAGACACGGUCCAGACUCCUACGGGAGGCAGCAGUGGGGAAUAUUGCACAAUGGACGAAAGUCUGAUGCAGCAACGCCGCGUGGAGGAUGACACAUUUCGGUGCGUAAACUCCUUUUAUAUAGGAAGAUAAUGACGGUACUAUAUGAAUAAGCACCGGCU